rnacentral:rRNA from 1 species
UACGAAGGGGGCUAGCGUUGCUCGGAAUCACUGGGCGUAAAGGGUGCGUAGGCGGGUUUUUAAGUCAGGGGUGAAAUCCUGGAGCUCAACUCCAGAACUGCCUUUGAUACUGAAGAUCUUGAGUUCGGGGAGAGGUGAGUGGAACUGCGAGUGUAGAGGUGAAAUUCGUAGAUAUUCGCAAGAACACCAGUGGCGAAGGCGGCUCACUGGCCCGAUACUGACGCUGAGGCACGAAAGCGUGGGGAGCAAACAGGG